rnacentral:misc_RNA from 1 species
CCCAUUACAUAUUUUAGUGAAAAGUUAAAUAGUGCGGCAUUGAACUACUCCACGUAUGACAAAGAGCUUCAUGUCUUGGUGUAAGCGUUUGAGACAUGAAAGCACUACUUGUGAUCAAAGGAGCUCCUAAUUCAUUCUGACCAUUAGUCAUUGAAACACUUGAAGGGACAAAACAAGCUCAACCAUAGGCAUGCCAAAUGGGUGGAAUUUCUUGAGACUUUUCUUUAUGUUAUUCAGUAUAAGAUAAGGAAAAAGAGGUGUGCAUUGUUCUACUGGUUUUUCACCUUUUGAAAUUGUUUAUGGGGUUUAAUCCUUUAACUCCAUUAAAUUUGAUUCCUUUGCCUGUGCAUG